rnacentral:rRNA from 1 species
GUCGAACGAAGCACUUAAGAACGAUUCUUCGGAUGAAGUCUUUUGUGACUGAGUGGCGGACGGGUGAGUAACGCGUGGGUAACCUGCCUCACACAGGGGGAUAACAGUUGGAAACGACCGCUAAUACCGCAUAAGCCAACAGGGGCGCAUGCUCUGGUUGGAAAAGAUUUAUCGGUGUGAGAUGGACCCGCGUCUGAUUAGCCAGUUGGCAGGGUAACGGCCUACCAAAGCGACGAUCAGUAGCCGGCCUGAGAGGGUGAACGGCCACAUUGGGACUGAGACACGGCCCAAACUCCUACGGGAGGCAGCAGUGGGGAAUAUUGCACAAUGGGGGAAACCCUGAUGCAGCGACGCCGCGUGAGUGAAGAAGUAUUUCGGUAUGUAAAGCUCUAUCAGCAGGGAAGAAAAUGACGGUACCUGACUAAGAAGCCCCGGCUAACUACGUGCCAGCAGCCGCGGUAAUACGUAGGGGGCAAGCGUUAUCCGGAUUUACUGGGUGUAAAGGGAGCGUAGACGGUGAUGCAAGUCAGAAGUGAAAGCCCGGGGCUCAACUCCGGGACUGCUUUUGAAACUGUGUAACUGGAGUGCAGGAGAGGUAAGCGGAAUUCCUGGUGUAGCGGUGAAAUGCGUAGAUAUCAGGAGGAACACCAGUGGCGAAGGCGGCUUACUGGACUGUAACUGACGU